GGAAUAUUGGACAAUGGGCGAAAGCCUGAUCCAGCCAUGCCGCGUGUGUGAAGAAGGUCUUCGGAUUGUAAAGCACUUUAAGUUGGGAGGAAGGGCAUUAACCUAAUACGUUGGUGUCUUGACGUUACCGACAGAAUAAGCACCGGCUAACUCUGUGCCAGCAGCCGCGGUAAUACAGAGGGUGCAAGCGUUAAUCGGAAUUACUGGGCGUAAAGCGCGCGUAGGUGGUUCGUUAAGUUGGAUGUGAAAUCCCCGGGCUCAACCUGGGAACUGCAUUCAAAACUGACGAGCUAGAGUAUGGUAGAGGGUGGUGGAAUUUCCUGUGUAGCGGUGAAAUGCGUAGAUAUAGGAAGGAACACCAGUGGCGAAGGCGACCACCUGGACUGAUACUGACACUGAGGUGCGAAAGCGUGGGGAGCAAACAGGAUUAGAUACCCCAG
rnacentral:rRNA from 1 species